UGAUUGGUGGCUCAGAGGGUAGAGUAUCUGUCUGCAAUGCAGGAGACCUGGGUUCAAUCCCUCGGUCAG
rnacentral:tRNA from 1 species